GGAUAUGAUAUUAGUGAACGCACAUGGGAGCCAUCCAAGAAUCUAGCAAAUGCAUCAGCUAAAGUCAAAGUUUUUCAUCAACGACAUCCAUCGAAACCAAGAUAAAAAUCUCUCUUAUAAAAGAGACAAGAUUGAGGCAAGAUAACAUUCAAUUUCCUAUCCUUGUUUGUAACUUCUUUGCAUUUGUGAUGCUAAUUAGAUGGAGAGCCAACAACCAGCGGAUUCAACUCAAGAACCUUCGUUUGUUGACCUGCUGGACGAGACAUUACGAUUGUCACAACCUUUAAGACGACGCAAUCGAGAUGAACAUCUUCAAGAACGACAUGUUCUUCCUCGAAUAGAUGGUGAGAUACAACGUGUUCGGUAUCACGAUUUGGGAAGGAACUCCCGAUGUUUGGUGAUUUUGCUAGAACAACUCCUGAUGGUGUUCCAAAUAUUCUAUUCGAAGGAAGUUACGAAGGCCUCAACAAUGAUCAAAUAACUGGGUGGUCUUCCCGCCCUGGUAUGGGACACUACCGAUGGUUGAAAGGCCCUAUCAAUCAUCUUCGAAGAGUACAGAGAUCAGAGUAUGUGGCGAAUACAAUUUGUCGCAUCAUAGAUUUCCUCAACAUAUGAUGACCACUCCUCGUGGAACUCGUCUCUAGAAGGGGGGGUAAUGUCACGGCCAUAAUCAUGUAAGCUAAUAAUUACAUAUAGAAAUAGGUAGAAGUAAGUAAAAGUAGAUAAAAGUAAGUUAAUUCUAUAAUAUUUAAUAUAAAAGCUUCCUAGAAACUUCUUAGACGCUGCUUUGACUUCAUAGGUGUCUUUAAUUGACUUUUUGGAUUAGAAACGUGGUUAACAAGUUGGCCAUGUGCCACACAUGUUUUUAGCUUGAAGAUCAAGCUAACUAUGUGGCCCACACAUAGAAAAACUUGCCUUGUAAGUCAAGGCAUGUGUCCUACAAAGUCAACACAUAUUGGAGGUCCUAUAGAACAUCGCCACGUAGCUCUUAGUUAGAUAGUAUAUAUAGAGACAAGAGUGAAGGCUUCUUCACUCUUGUCAACUCCUUUCUUGCUUCUAGUCCAGGUUCAAGAGUCUUUAGUUUCUUGUCUUGUGGUAAUAGCUAUUCCAGUUUCUUUGUAAUAUACCUACUUGUUUAUAUUUUGACUUAUUAUAUCGAGAUAGCCUUUUUGUGUAUAUUUUCCCUCAUCGAGUCUUUGUCCUUGACAAGAUGAUGAAAUUGGUGGAAGUACGGAAACUAGUGAAUUUUGGGCUUCUACCGUUUCUACAAUGCAAGAAGGGAAAUUACCUUGAGAAGCGUUAUUGAGAACUGCAGCUACAAUACGAGGAAGAACAGGUUGGGAGGAUCCUGUUGAGUCUCUUUCAGUUCAUGCAUAUAUUGCUAAUAGCCAACAUGAAGCUUUGAUGGAAGAAAAGAGACGAGGAAAUUUUGAUGAAACUAGAGAAGGAAAUUCUUCUAAGAGGCAAACUCGAGGAGACCAGGCUCGGGAGGCAGCUUCACAAGAAUUGCCUGUAAAGGAUACCUCAGCAUCAUUGGGAGAAAAAACAAAGGAGACAAAAGAUAAAGGCAAAUCAAUUGCUUAUAAGCUACUUUCUGACAUUGAAGCGGCAACAGAUUUGAAAGGAGUGCUGGAAGAACGUAUAUUAAACGCUAAGGUGGAAUUCACUUUGAAAGAAGUCUUGGGAAUUGUAAAGAAGGAGUUUCAUGAUGUCAUCAUUGACAACAUUAAGCGAAAGAGGUAAUUAAUGGACGAAACUGGAAUGAGUCAUGCUAUUGAUGCAAGAAUAUAUAAAGAUGAAGAAGAGGUUGAUAUGGAUUACAAGCAACCAACAAAUGAAAAGAAUGGGUAUAAUCAACGAGUACGUUUCGAAGAUUCUAGUGACAAGGAAAUAGAAACUUUGAGCCAUUAUACUCGAAAGCAUUGGACAAGGGCAACUACUGAGGAAUUGGUGAAAGUAAGAGAUAUAGAAGAACCAAUUGUUGCUUUAGUCGACCAUGGUUCUGAAAUAAAUCUCAUGUCUAAAGAUCUUUAUAAGAAGCAAAAAUGGCCAAUUGAUAUGGAACAUGGAUGGGCAAUACGAGUAGCUAAUAACACACGAGGCGAAUUAUAUGGACCUUGUCCAGAUGUCAAAAUUCGGAUUGGGGAUGUUGCGACGGAGCAACAUUUCUUCGUUCAAGAUACAACGUCUUAUCCGUUGAUUUUAGGACAACCUUAUAUUACGGCAAUAUGGAUGGAAACAAAAGUACUGGACGAUGGUUCUGCUUAUGCAAGGGUACGGAGCGAAGAUGGGAGGAAAGCUGUACAAUUUCUAACAGUACCUCCUAACCAUGAACGGAAUCGAGAUAGGUUGAGGGAGAAACCAUUGCCAAAGAUUGUUGAAGGAUUUAAGGAUUUUGGGGAGGUACCACUGUAAAGCGAGAUUAUAGAGGUACAAAAGAGGAGGUACUCUCGCGAGAUGAAGGUGCCUUUGAUGCGAAUUUUAUUGGUAUAUUGGAGAAUGGAAAUAUUAUGUAUAAAAAAGUUGAUGAUUUUAAAAGAAAAGAAAGAAAAAGAUUAUAUGAUAUUGAAGGAGAAUUACGCAAGUUAGGUACAUUGCAAGAUGAUGAGAGGAUUUUGGGUGUUUAUGAAGAAAAUGGACUGGAAGAUUCAUUGGAAUUGAUUGCAUCUAUUGGGUUAGGAGAUAAUGAUAAUAUUGUUGAGAUUCAUUCAAGAGAGGUUUAUACCAUGCUUGAAUCUUUUCAAGCACCAGAAGUCAUAGUAGAGACGAGAUAUAAAACGACAGAUAAGAAGGUAAAGCCUGUUGCUGGACCAUUACCAGAAGAUUCUAAAGAACAAAUGGGAGAAGCAUCAAAAGAAGCAAGUUUAAGAGAUCCAAUGAGUAUUGGACAUCAGUUUACUAAAGAGACUUUUGAAGAAUUGAAGAUUGGUUCUGAUGGUUCUUUAUUGUCGGAGGAAAUUACUUGCUUCAAAAAGAUAUUGGCUAAACAAGGUAGAUCGUUUGCCUUCGAAUCUCAUGAAAUUGGGUGUAUGGAUCCAAAUAUUAUAACACCUAUGGUUAUCUUCACUGUACCGCAUGUACCUUGGAAUCUAAGACCGAUUCCAGUACCGAGGGCACAUUUACCUAAAUUGGUGGAACUAUUAAAAGAAAAGAUAAAGAUGAAAAUAUUGGAACCUUCAUUUGUGCCGUAUUCUAGUCGAUGGUUUACGGUACCUAAGAAGAAUGGGUCACUACGGUUUAUUCAAGAUAUGCAACUGAUGAAUGCAGUAACUGUCAGGAAUGCAGGAAUUGGACCCAUUGUGGAUGAAUUUGCUGAGGCGUUUGUUAGAAGGGCGAUCUAUUCAAUGGAUGAUUUGUAUUCAAGUUAUGAUCAAUUUCAACUUGUCGAAGGAAAUAGAGAUAUGACAACAAUGUGGACACCACUUAGAUUAGUUAGAAUGUGCACUCUUCCUCAAGGCGCGACCAACUCAGUUGCGCAUAUGAUGAAUGGGAUGAAUAAGGUAUUGAGAGAUUUUAUUCCGGAAAAGACUAUGCCUUUUCUAGAUGAUGUUCCUAUAAAAGGAUGCAGAGAAGGAGACAAGGAUGAAACUUUAGAUAUGAGGCGGUGUCGCAAAUAUGUUGUUGAUUAUAUACAAGAUUGUGAAAAGAUUUUAACUCGGCUUGGAGAAGUUCAUCUUACAUUAUCGGGUAUGAAGUCCGUAUUUGGAGUACGAGAGGUUGUAAUUGUUAGACAUUUAUGUGGAUCUUACGGAAGAAAACCAGAUCCAACUAAAGUUGAUGCAAUUGGAAGGAUGAAAGAGGAUUGUGAUUCUUUAACAGAGGUUUGCAGGUUUUGGGUGCAUGUGUAUUUUAUCGAAUCUGGAUCCCUCAUUUUGCUCACAUAGCGGAUCCAUUAUAUGAGCUGUUAUGCAAGGGUUACCGAUUUAAAUGGGAAGAAAGGCAUAUUCAGGCAAUGCAAAGAUUGAAGAAAUUAUUGAUGUCACCUCCAAUAUUGAGGAAGGUUGAUUAUAAGUGCAAUAGACCAAUGAUUCUUACUGUGGACGCUAGUCCAAUUGCCAUUGGAUGGGCUGUGGGUCAAGAUGAUUCAAAUGGGAGUAGAUUUGCAGUUCAAUUUGGGGCUAAAGUUUUAAGUAUUCAUUAGCGUGCAUAUUUGCAAGUCAAAAGAGAACUUUGGGGAGUCGUUUCGGCUAUGAAAGCUGAAAAGGACUAUUUGAUUGGGGCAGUAGUAGUAAUUGAAACAGAUUGCUUGCCAUUGCUUGGAAUGAUUAUUAACUGUUCAACGCCAGAUAUUGUGAUGUUGAGAUGGAUUGCUUAUAUUAAGUUACUAAAUCCAGAAUUUAAGCAUAUUACUGGGAAAGAAAAUUUAGUAGCAGACAUGCUAUCUCGAGCAAGAUACGAGAGGGAGGACGAAAUGGUUGAAGACAUUGAUGAUGUCGGAUUGAAAUUCUAUUCAAUAUCAAAUCUCAACAGAGAAGACAAGCUAUUUCUUGAAGAAUCUUAUGAAGGAGAAUUAUUGGAUAUUGGUCAUUACUUGAAUACCUUGACUAAGCAGGGAAAUUGGUCUACAGAAAAAUUCAAACAAAUAAGAAAAAAAGCAUAUGGAUUUUUACUUCGAGAUGGAUUCUUAUGAAAGAGACCGAAGAAAGGAAUUAGGAUGCCACAGCGAGUGAUAGGCAAAAAGGAAGAAAGACUAAAAUUAUUAAAGGAGUUUCAUGAUAGUUUAUGGGCAGGGCAUAGAGGAAUCUGGACUACUUUUGCUAAACUCAAGGAACGAUAUUGGUGGAAAAAUAUGUAUCGAGAUGUGCUCUCAUUUGUAGAGUCAUGUGAAAUCUGUCAAUCGUAUUCUAAUAUCCGACAUCGAGAUGUUCUUCAUCCUACAUAUGCUCUAGCUAUUCAUUUUAAAUGGGUUGUUGAUUUGGUUAUUAUGCCAGUUGGGUUAUGGCACAUGAGAUAUUUGGUUUUAGCUCGUGAAGAUUUAUCAAAUCAAGUAGAAGGAAGAGCAUUGAGGACAAAAUCUACAGAGGGAAUUUGUAGGAUUUUGCUUGAAGAUGUCAUUUGCCGCUACGGAUGCGUAGGAAAAGUCACUGCAGAUCGUAGAGAAUUAAAUGCAUAAGAAGCUCGUAAGUUCUUUGAAAGAUGUGGAGUUAAACUAUCACUGACUACUACUUAUAAUCUGGAAGGGAAUGCAAAAAGCGAACGCGAUCACCCACCGAUUGUGAAAGCGUUAGUUAAAGCUUGUAAUGGGAAAGUUAAAGAGUUGCCACGACUUUUGUCAUUUACAUUAUGGGCUGAUCGAACAAUACAUAGUUCGGUGACAAGAUAUAUGCCAGUAGAACUUAUGACAGGUCAAAAACUAAUUAUGCCGAUUGAAGAAAAGGUACUUAUUUGGAGUAUGCUACCAUAGGAAGAUGGAUUGACAAGAGAAGAACUUUUGGCUAUUAGGAUUCGACAAUUGAAGCAAAGAACGGAAGAUGUCCAGAUAGCAUUGGAAAGGUUAAAAAGAGCUAGGUUAAAAAACAAGGCGUGAUUCGAUAAGCAACAUCGAUUGAGACCAAAAGCAAUCGAGGAAGGUGACUGGGUACUUGUUUAUGACAAUAGUCUAGAUAAUCAACAUAGUACUUUGCGAAAAUUUUCAAAACGUUGGUUUGGACCAUAUGUGGUAACAACAGUUCAUGAUAAUGCGACUUACUCGUUACGGGAGUUAGAUGGUACAAAAUUAAAAAUACCAAUUGUAGGGAAGCGAGUAAAAAUAUUUAAACAAAGACACGCAGAGAUGAAUAUCGAAGACCUUAAUGAAGGUAUAGAGAUUCCGCAGCAAGAAGAUGAAAGUAAUUUGGAUAAUGAAGGUGAUGAAGACAAACUGGACAAAGAUGCAGAGGAUAUAUUCUGAAUCAAACAACAAUUGGAUAAAUUGGUGCAUACCGGAGGAUGCAUAGGUUCAGAGGGGGUGGAUGUCGUGUUGUAACACGAGUAUGCCUUGAAAAUAUAAAGAAAGGGGACUUUUAUUAAUAUUCAGCUACCUCGAAUAUUGGGAGCAACAAUCAACUCCACUGCAAAUACUGAGUGGUCAGAUUCAGUCACUCCGUUACAAUCAGCCGGGGCAUACUGAAAUGCUCCAUUCGAUUCCAAUAACGGAAGUCAGCACGAAGGGAAAGGAUCAAUUCACGCAACGGCUGAGCCUGAUUCGAAGAGCCAAUUGGAUCUUAUUUCGAGAAUCCAAUCCGGGUCUUCUUACCCAAUAUGAGACCUGUAUUGAUCGGGCAACCCAAUGCAGUCUAAUUACGGGAAAAUCCAGGUCUUACUACGGGCCUUAGCCAAUCUGACGCGAAGACCAAUUGGACCCAAUUACGUGAACAUCCAGGUUACUACUGGCAUCUUACCCAAUAUGAGACCUGAAUUGGUCGGGCGACUCAAUGUGGACCCGAGUACGGGGUUUCGAUUCUGUUUCAUGCUGUCCUAUUCUCUGUGCCGUUUCAGGGAACGUUAUUUUCGGUAAUUGGAUCUCUUAAAGGUAAAAACUGAGGAGAAAGCUUUGAUGGCGAGAGCCAAUUUCGGAUCUAAGCUCUGACGGUGGGAGCCAAUUCCGGAUCCAAGAUGGAAGAUUGAAGAAAUUCAGAGGAUAAGGUUAGGGGGAGAAUAAGUUUUGAGGAGGGGUUUUUUUUUUUUCAGAUCAGAGGGGGGGGUUUUUUUUUAUCAAGGAGCUAGCUUCAAGCUUUUUUCAAGGUUACUAGUUCGGUUUUCAUUGGAGGUUUUUGGAGAUUAAGGGGAUUGGAGAGGAGCUUCAUGCUUCGGGUCGGGGAAGAAAAGACGGAGAAUUGGAUUUUUCUUCUUCAUAGAGUUUUGGGAAGACUGAGGCAAUCGUUGCUGAAGUCAGUGUUGUAAUGGUGAAUCGAGAUUUUUAAUGAAGUGGGUGUGAUCACUCCUGACUGUUUGUGAAAUCGAAUUACGUCUGUGAUUGAAGGAUUAAAAGGGUGUCUAUAGAAUUGAGUAUGUGGAGUGAAUGAAAUUUAUUGGGUUAAUCUAACAAGACAGUCAGUGGAUACAAGAUUGUAAGUACAAAGCGGUAUCAGAGAUUAACAGAUUGGGUUGUUUGGGGUUCUCUGUAAUGUCUAGAGACCUACCGGCUGGGGCAAAAGGGACUUCGACAAGCAGUCGAAGGGCAUCCGUAUAGAUUUACGGUGUAUUCUUGCAAUCGUUUAUAUUCCAGCAGUCAAAAACUGAUAGAUUGCUUGAUUAUUGGCGAAUCUCCAUACUACCUUCUACAGCCAGACGUCCGGCACGUUUUCGAGCAGAAAAGCACGUACUAUGACAACGGCAUAACCUUAUAAGCAAAGGUCCCUCAAUCCGUAGUAAAAGUAGUUUUUAACUGGUCUUCUUUUACAAUUUUAACUUCAUUGUAAUCGGAGAAUCCAUCAAGAAAUAAAUAACAUUCAUGUCUAAUGAUAGCAUCCAAAAUACUAUCCAUGAAUGGUAAAGAAAAAUAAUCCUUCUUGGUAGCUAUAUUUUAUUUGCAGAAAUCUUGAUAGAUGCAAAGUUUUCCAUUCUUUUUCGGUACCAUAACAAUUGGUGAAAUCCAUUCACUGAAAGGAACUAGAUAGAUAAAUCCAAUCUCUAAGAGUUUAUCCACUUGUUCUUUUACCAUAAGUGAGUAUUUUGGAUUAAGUCAAUGUUGUCUUUGGUGUAGUGAUGUAGUGGUCUCCUCCAAUAUAAUUCGAUGUUUACAAACUUCAGCUGGAAUUCCUUUCAAAUCUACAUAUGACCAUGUAAAAGUAGUUUUAUGCAUUAAAAAAUAAUCCACUCAAAUUUCUUUCUCUUUGCUUUUUAUAUUGUUGUAAAUCUGAAUGAUUUGGGAAGCCUCCUAUAUACCUAAAUUCAUUGGUUGACAUUGUGGAAUUUCAGGAGUCUCUCGAAUAAUGUUCUGCUCAAUUCCAAAAUCUUUCAUAGAAUUUGACACAUUAGAACUUUUCAACUCCAGUUCCAUAGUACUAAUGUGAUUAACAUCAUGUCUAUUCAUCUAAUAUGCAAUCAUAUGAUUAAAAUCAUCAAUAACAUCUACAGGAACUAAGUACUCUCCCGAUCCCCUACACUGGUAGUUCAUUCUAGUGUGCUUGACAACUUGCAUUGUAUCAGCAUAAAUUGGGUCAGGUGUACCAAUUUCUUCUUCUGUAGACUCAUCUUCACAAUCCGACGUGAAUUCUGAACUGGCCAAUUGAGUUUCUCCGUGAUAUUGGACAGGGUACAUUUGAAGCAUAAUUUUAUCAUUACCUUUUCCAAUUGUCAAUGUACCAUGGUCUCAGUCAUUUUGAGCUUUAGCUUGAUACAACCACGAUCAUCCCAAUAAAAUUAGGUAUGACAAUAUAGAGCUUCGUAAUUGAAAAAUAAUAUAAUCAAUUUUGUAGGUAAUCCUUGCAAUUACUGUAUCAAUACUUCGUAAAAUAUCCAUAGGUUUAACUUGACUAGAGUUAGCCAUUCUCAAAACUAUUGUACUAGGCAAUAAGUGAUCCAAACCCAACUCCUCCAUUGUAGUAGUAUUCAUAAGAUUUACACUAGAUCCUCCAUCUACUUGUACUCCUGAUAAUAACACUCCAUCAAUUGAGACAUCAAUCGUUGGUGCACUCGGAUCAAGAUUCAAACUUACUUCUUGGAUUUCUUUAUUUUGAGAUCUGCAAUGAAUUAAUGAGGAAUUCAAGAUAGUUUGGCACUCAGGUGCUACCGCAAUAGUUGCUUCAUAGAGAUUGUAGGCUGUAUGGUAUCCAAAUCUUUUAGAAUAUCAUAUGGUUUAAUAUUAGUUGUAAUUUCCAAUGUCUGUUUUUUCUUCCCAGUCCUAGACACAAAUGCAUGCAAAUUGGUUUUCACUAUAUUGGAAAUUAGUAAAGCUAUUGGAACUGAAUUUGAUGGAACUUGUAAAAUUGGUUCUUUCAACUUGUAAGAUUGUUCUCCUAAUUGGGCUGAUAUUGGUUCCUUGGAAUUUAUGCCUCUGAGAAGAUCUUUCAACGAAAAGGACGUUUCCCAAAACUAUGUAAAGAACAGAACAGCUUAAAAUAAAAUCGAAGCCUCCAUAAUCAGUACCUCAUUAGGAUGCACAAUCGAUUUAGGUCUUAUACUGAGUAAGGGGCCCAUCUCAAGACUUAGAUUAGAUGGCCCCGUAAUUGGGUCCAAUUGACCUUUCGCUUCAAGAUCACUCAAAUGUUGAAUUGGUCCUUUUCUCUUUUACUAUCUUCUUGUAAAGACAGCUUGGACUACUCUUACUUGAUGAACUGAUGAAUCUUGAGGACCUUGAUUUAUCUCCUCUAUUUUUCCUUGGCUUUGGAUCUACUAAUCUCAAUCAUUGAAAUCCAACGGAGCAUUAUAUUGUUGAUAAGUAUAUCUCGACUACUUGCAAUUCACACACACUGGCACAUAAUCGUCACUGGCUCUGGGAUUAGGACAUUCACUGGCAUAAUAAUCAAUCUGUCUGCAACGAAAACAACAAAGUGAUCUUCUUGCACCUCCAUCCGAUAUAUUGGGUGUCUCUGUCAGUAUAUACCUACUAGGCUUGUUCCAUAUAGGAUUAGAAAAUGAUCUUGAUUGUCCUAUUGGUAUGGAAGGUAUUUGGUUUGAUGAUGCUGGUGGAGCAUAUUGUUGAUACCUCUACUACUCCUUCUCAUAGUUUUGGGGAUUCGAUGCAGACCCCUGAUUAAAAUUAGAAUUUUGAAGUUAUUGAAGAUUCAAUUUUGUAGAUUAGAUCAAUUUCCAUUCCAUCCAUACAAUUCUUUUUUGUCGUUCCCAUAGGAGAUUUCUUAUGCAUAAUUGCUCCUAUCUUUCUUUUGCUUGUCGAUUAAUUCUUUGAUAAUCCUCCUCUUCAUGAUUAUCACUCAUAAUCUUUCAUUCUUCUUUACAAAAUCAAUAUUACCUUGAAUUAUAACUCACAUAUUUGUAACCCUAAAAUUGGUUCUUAUCACGUUCUCAUUUAACAUAUAAUUCCAUCUCCCAUACAAUCAAUUUCUAACAUUUCAUAUUAUUAUCAUUUCUCGGACAACGGCACCAAAAUUUUGUUCUCGUUGUAUUCAAGCUUCAAUAUACCAAAAUAAUUGAACUAAUAGAGGUGGGUUCGAACAUGGAAAAAGAUUGGUUAUAUGAAUUGGGUCUGUUAGUGUCACAAUUGACUAUACUCUCGCUAUCUGGAAUCAAUUAUCAAACUACAAAACACCAAAGCUUACUACUUCCAUCUUAAUUCAACACUUAAUCCAUUCUACAACUAUCAAUUCAACAAUACUUCCAUGUUCUUAUCCGUUCAUCUCCCACUUACUCUCUUUGUAGUUUAUAUAUAUUUAAUUACUGAUCUCCAGCUUAUCUAUUGUAUUUAGUUUUUUAAUUUAUCACAUAGAAUUCAAUAUCUCGGCUUACGACUGUCACAGUCUGGCACUCCAGACUAACUUCUCAGUAUUCAGAAACUAUCCAUUACUUAUCAACAAAAAAGAAACAAAAAGAGGUAGCACCAAGCUUGCCCCGGCUUAUGACUAUCACAAUCUGGCCUUGAUCUCCCUUUCCUCAACCUCUUUAUCCUACCAAAAGAUGGACCGUCAGCCAGCAGAUUCCAAAGAUUAUGACCCUUUAAAUUUUUAACCAUUUAUUCCACUAACAACCUACUUUUAUCAACUAAACUGCCUAACCAUUAGUCUAAUUCUCAAGAUUAUCAAUAACCAACUAGUAACUUACCUCAAAGUUUAUUUGCCUAUUUUACACCUUCAUAGUAACUUGUAAUCUUUACAUUUCACCUUUUGGCUAAUAAAUUUUAAGUUUUAACUUUUAACCUUUAAUAUUCUCACUUAAAUUUUAUCUUUAAUUUUUAAACUUAACUUUUAAUUUUAACUCUUAAACUUAAUCUUUAAUUUUAAAUUUUAACUUUAAUUUUUAAUUUUAACUUUUAACUUUAAUUUUUAAUUUUAACUUUUAGUUCAAACUUAAGUUUUUAUUCUUAUGAUCAAUUAACAGUAACUAUUUAGUUAAUUAUUUUUAAUAUAUUUACAUAAUAAAUUUAAUUGAAUAUUUUAAUUUCAUGUCAGUAAUCAUUGCUUGGAAGGGGUUAAUUUGAAUUGAACUACAAACAUCCAUAUUUAAAUUAACUCAACAAUUUCACAAUUGGAAGUCCUUCUAUUCUAUGUAUUGAACCUAUUGUGUGGCGUCAAUUUAAUGAAUGAUGAAUUUGGAGCUCACAACUAGAUUUCUUGCAAUCUUAAUUUUUUCUAUAGUUUAGUCCAAGGUCUUGCAAGGAAGUAGAAAUCCAUAAGUUUAGUAUAUCUCAACUUUUAUUGAUAGGUACAAGAGCUUUCAUGCAUGUUGUAAAUGAAAGGCCAUCUUUUGCUAUAUAUGCUAUGUCCAUUGUUGAUGGUGAGAAGAUAUCAAGUGGUAUUCUUAGUUAGUAUUAAGAUUUUUAGGAUAUUUUUGAAAAAAAGAAUGUAAAUAUUCUUCUAAAAUAUCGUCUUUAUGAUUGUACUAUACACCUUUAAGAAGAAAUUCAACCACCAUUUGAACCAAUCUAUAGCCUAUCACAAAAUAAGUUGGUUGCACUCAAAGAAUACAUUAAUAAAAACUUGGCUAAGAACUUUAUAUGCCAUUUUAAAUCUCUAAUGGAGGCUUCUAUCUUAUUUGUAAAAAAGAAAGAUGGAUCUUUGCAGAUGUGUGUGGAUUAUCAAAGACAUAACAAGAUCACUAUAAAGAAUAAAUAUCCUCUACCUUUGAUUUCAAGACUUCUUGAUUAACUAAAUCAAGCAAAGAUCUAUACAAAAAUAGAUCUAUAAAGAACAUAUAAUCUGAUCUACAUUAAAGAAAGAGAUGAAUGGAAGAUUGUUUUUCAAACUAUGUAUGGAUAUUUUGAAUAUAAUGUCAUGCUUUUUGGACUCACAAAUGUACUAGCUACUUUCUAAUAUCUAAUGAAUGAUGUCUUUCAUGAGUUGCUUGAUGAUUUUUUUGUCUGUUAUUUGAACAACAUUUUAAUCUAUUCUAAAAAUAUAAAAGAGCAUGAAGUUCAUGUUCAUUGUGUGUUAUAAAAACUAUGAGAUGCAAGAUUAUACAUGAAGAUAGAAAAUGAUAUAUUCUAUACUUCUUAAGUUGACUUUUUGGGAUACAUCAUUUCUAAUGAAGGCCUUAUGAUGGAUCUAAAGAAGGUCUAAUCUAUCAUAGAUUGAAAGAUCUGAAGAAUAGUAAGAGAUGUGCAAUGCUUUUUGAGCUUUUUCAAUUAUUACCAAAUCUUUAUCAAGAACUUUUUUCAAGUUGCAGCUCUACUUACAUGUUUGACUUGUAAAGACAAACUUAAGUAGAAUAAAAAAGCUGAAGCAUCGUUUGUUGUUUUAAAGAAGGGAUUUAUUUCUACACCAACUUUCUAUUGCGUCGACUUUUCUAAGGCAUUCUUUAUGGAAAUAAAUGCAUCAAACUUUGCCUUAGGUAUAGUAUUAUUACAAAUAGGAAUAGAUAACAAACUCCAUCCAGUAGCUUUUUAAUCUAGAAAAUAUUUAGUACCUAAGAUUAAUUAUGAGAUCUACAACAAAGAACUUGUAAUUGUGGAUUCAUUUCAAGAAUGGCAUCAUUAUCUAGAAGGUACUUCAAGUCCAAUUACAAUAUAUAUAGAUCACAAGAACCUCAAGUAUUUCAUGUUGGCACAUGUUUUGAAUCAUUGUCAAGCUUGUUGAAGUAUGUCAUCAUCAAAAUUUGAUUUCAAGUUCACAUAUCGAUCUAAAAAAUAACAAGAUUUAUAAGAUGUUCUUUUUAGACGCUCUUAUCUUGUACCAAAAAAAAGAAACGUAUCUUUAGAUCAAUAAAGAACAAUCUUAUUGAAACUAAAGUAUUUUCAUCUAUGAGCAAUGAAAUUAACAUUGACUAUUGAUUUAAUCUUUUUCAAACAAAUUCAAUGAAGUAUGUCCUUUGAUUCUCUUGUUCAUGAUAUUAAGAAUCUUUCUUCUAAAUUUCAUGAUAUUUCAAAGUUCAAGUUCAAGAACAACCUUCUUUAUUUUAAAAGAUGCAUAUAUAUAUUCCAAAAAAAGAAAUAUUUUUAUGUGUUCUUCAAGCACGUCAUGACUUUUCAGCAGCAAGACAUUUUAGAUAUAACAAGAAUUUAGAACUUAUACUUUGAGAUUUUUGGUGGCUGCAAAUGUGGAAGGCAAUAAAAGACUUUGUCCAGUCAUGUAACAUUAGUUCAAGAUUAAAAACUCCUUUUCAUCAACCCUAUGGACUUCUCCAACCAUUGCCUAUAUUCAAACAAUUAUAGUCUUUUAUUUCUAUGGAUUUUAUUACAAAUCUUCUAAGUUCAAGUUCAUAAGAUUGUAUAUUUGUAAUCAUAGAUUGCUUUACUAAAAUAGUACAUUUUCUAUUAUAUACAAAAUCUAUUUUAGGUAAAGAAAUAGCUAAGCUUUUUAUUGAUAAUAUCUAUCACUAUUAUGGAUUACCAAAGGAUAUUAUAUUGGUUAGGAGAACUCAAUUUAUAUCAAGAUUUUGAAAAAUCCUAUUCAAGAUUCUAAAGGUGGAUAUAAAGCUUUUUUUGGCUUUUUAUUCUAAAAUUAAUAGGCAAAUGGAAUGGAUGAAUUAAGUUCUAGAGUAGUAUUUGAGGUGUACCAUCAAUUAUCAUCAAGACGAUUGAACAAUUCUUUUGCCAUUAGUAGACUUUGUAUAUAAAAAUUUUGUAUAUUUUUCUACUCAACAAACACCUUCUUUUGCCAAUUAUGGUUAUCAUCUAUAACUUGAUAUUUUUUACUUUUCAAAAAUUGAUAAUCCUGCAAUGGAAGAUUUAGCAAAUCAUUUAUCAGAGCUAAAUGCAACAAUAAAGAUAUAAUUAAAAGAAGCUCAAGAAUGACAAAAGACCUAUAUAGAUGCCUAUUGUAAAAAGCAACAACAAUUCAAUGUAAGUAAUAAGAUAUGGUUACUUCAUCACAAUAUCAAGACUAUUUGUUCUUAUAAUAAAUUGGACUAUUGUAGGCUCAGAUCUUUUUCUAUUUAUAAAUAAAUAAAUCUUAUUGCUUAUUGAUUAUAUCUAUUAGAGUCUAUAAAGAUCUAUCGUGUAUUUCACAUGUCCCUUCUUGAGCCGUAUAAGACAAUGAAUAUUUCAAGAAGAAGAUAAAUGCUACCUCUUCUUAUAGAAAUGGAUAAUAAUUAAGGAUUCAAAGUGGAAGAAGUCUUAGAUUCAAGGCGGCACCAAAAUAGGUUGAAAUAUCUUGUUUAUUGAUGUGGAUAUGAUAUUAAUGAACAAACAUAAAAGCUAGUAAAGAAUCUUGAAAAUACAAUAAAAAAAGUUUAAGCCUUUUAUUGAUGACAUCCAUCAAAACUAAAAUAAAGAAUUGCAAAGAUCCAUAAAAGAUGAUGACUGCUCCUCAUAGAACUUGUCUUUAGAAGCUUCAUAGAUACAAUUUUGAUUUUAGAUGUGUUUGUAGGUUAGAAACUUAGCCAACAAAUUAACCACAUAUUGGUAGCUUGUAGAAAAAAUUAACUUCAUAUAAUAGCUUAUUUUACAACUUAAUUAUAUAGUACAUACAUAGAUAAUUUGCCUUGUAAGUUAAGACAUGUAGCUAGCAAAGUCAAUUCAUGUUGGAGAUCUUAUAGAAUAUUGACAUAUAGCUCCUAAUUAGAGAGUAUAUAUGGAAGGAAGAGUGAAGCCUUCUUCACUCUUAUCAAUGCCUUUCUAGUCCUUAGUCUUGUUUCAAGACUUUCUAGUCUUUUUGUUUUUAGAAAUAGUCAUUCUAGUUCAAUAUUAUAUCAUCUUUGAAUGACUUUUUAGUUCUUUUUAGUGAUACAAGACUAUAUUGAGGAUUUUCUUUCUUCAAGAUUCAUGUCCUUGAGACAAGAAAACUAAUUGACAGUAAAUUUUAUUUCAAAGAUGAUACAAAUAAAACAUUAUUUACCUUCUUUUAUUUUAUAUUAUCUAUUUUUAUAUAAAUUUCUUCUUAUUUAGAUGUAAUAUAUGAUUUAUCACUAAUAAUUCUUAUUUUAUAAAAUUAACUUAUCGAUUUGAAAAAACUUAAACUUGACUUAUUAUUUAUUACAUGUUGUGAAGUUCCAGUAUCAAGAUAUUAAUUUAAGUCUUUUUUUUUUUUCUUUUGAGAUUUUUGUAAGAUUAACUUUUAUUUUUUAAAAUUUUUCUACUUAUUUAAAAUUUAAUGAAUUAUCUUCAGCUUCAAUAAUAUUUAUUAUAGAUUUAUUAAUAAUUAGUGGUGACUUUUUGAACUUACAGUCUUUUGCUAUAUGAUUUAAUUUUUUACAUACAUAAUGAUAGAUUAAGUGUGCUUCUUCUUUAAAAUAGAGACUUUUCAUAACACCUUUUCUUCUCAAGAAAGAGCAUCUACCUCUAUGAUAUAAGUAAUUUCUUUCAAUUCUUAUAAAUCUUAUAUUAAAAUCAGCUCUUGAAAUUUGUAUCAAAAGUACCUUGCUUUUAGAAUUUUUAUUGGUAUUAGCUCUUAACUAUAAUUUGUGAGCUUAUAUUAUAAGUCUUAAUGAUAUUUUUUUAAAAUUUAGAAAUUAAGUUUUUUAAAAUUAUUCAUGUCAAACUAUAUACUAUAUUAUCAAAGAAAGAAGAUAAGUCAUUCGGAAUAGUUUGUACAAGAGUCUUGAUUGGAACUUUUGUACUGAGAGUACCAAGUUUAUUUUUAAUUUUAUGAACUGUCUUUAAGAACUCUUCUAUAAAAGUAAAAUUUUAAAAUUUCAAAGUUUAUAGUUUAUAGCUGAGAUUAAGUACCAUAACAAGAUCUUUACUUUCAUAUUUGUCUUUCAAUGUCUUCUAUGUAUCUACAAGGUCUUCAUAUUUUGUCACUAUAUCUAUUAAAUAAUCCUUUAUAGUAAAAUUUGAUAUCUUCAUUGCUUUUGCCUUCAUUUCUUAUACUUAGAUUUUUGACAAUAAACAUCUAGUAAAUGAACAUGGAUAUAUUGGUGGUGAGAGUUUCUCAACAAUGAGAUCCUAUAAGUUUUUAUCUUAUAUAAAAGCCUUCAUCUUCACCAACCAACUUAUUAGCCUUGCCAACCUACAAGAGAUCACCAAAAUUUGAAAUAUCACUGGAAUUUAACAAAUGCUUUCUUCAACAAAUAAAUGUGCACAAGAUUUGUUCACAAGAGGUUCUUAUAAAGUCUCUAAGCCUUAUUUUAAUAUCAUAUAGAAAUUAUUCAUAUAAAAAGAAAGUUUUUUUUAUUCACGUUGAACUAAUCAUUUAUAUAUUUUAAAUUAUUUGAAGAGAUUCACAUGCAUUCUAUUUUUAAAAAUAUAUUUAAACUUUGAAUCCAUCCUCAAAUAUAUCUAAUUUAUACUCUUACCUUACUAUAUUGAUUAGUGUAGAUAUGAAAUUCAUCCAUAUAUCAGCUAGGUAUUAAUCUUGUAUGAAGGAAGAUACUUUAGGUGCCUAUUUUGCCAAUAGUAAGGUCUAUCACAGAAGAAUAAUUUGUUUUGCAAUUCCUUCAAGAUCUAUGAUAAAUCACAUUAGAUAAUAGCUUAUUUCAACCAUGGUAUCUAUGGAUUGUAGUAUUUUGACAACAAACCCACUUAGUAAGAGUAAAAUUAUAAUCUAUGAAGAUAGAUAUUAUAAGUUGAGACUCAAUGGCAACUAAAUCAAACUACAACCUUUUUACAUCAUUAUCCUAUACAUAGACAUAGAAGUUUGCAUCAAAUUACAUACACUUAUUUUUUUUACUACACCCUAUUGUAGCAUCAUUAAUUAUAUUAUUACCAACAUGUGGCUAAUUUGCACUCAAUGCAAGCUAAAAAAAAUCUUUGAGUUGCAUUAGACAUCACUUUGCAAUGAUUCCAAUUAAGAAAAAACUCAAUAUUUUAACACAACUAAAAAAAAAUUUGAUCCAAAACCUUUAUCAACCAAACAAAUAUUAGUAGUAGAAUGUAAAUGCAAAAGAAUAGCCCAAUCUAUACAAGAUCCUUAUAUAACACACUAUCUAGGAAUUAAACCAUUUUAACAAUUGUUGUAAUGUGACACCAUAUUAUGACAAUAAUUCUCGAUGUUUCUUUAGUAACUAGUGAUUUACUACUUAAAAGUAUAACUUUUUUUAGAAAUAAAUAUGAAUUCUAAAAAUAAAGAUUAAUAUUAUAUCUUAAUAUUUUUAUUUUAAGUGAUAUGCUCUUAGUAUUAAAAUGAAAGAUUAUGGAUACUAAUCUUUUAAUCUGCACAUGAAUAAAAGUAUUUUUGAUUACUAAAAUAUUAAAUAUAUUUUUUUGAUUUCUUGAUUUCUUUUAAGAUUUUAUUUCAAUAAAAAUUUCAUCAUUCAUUUCUUUAUUCUUUCUUAUCUUCAUAAAAAAUAUCAAUAAAAAAUAAUUUAAUCACUAUUCAAAGUUUCAAUGGUUCUAAAUUUUAUCUCUAGAAAUGGCAACUUUAAAACUUCUUUUGUACAAAAGGUCUCAUAUAAUGUAUUAAUGGUUUAGAUAAAAAUAAAUCAUAUAAUGACAAGCAGAAUGUAAAACAUUGCAAUGCUUAUACUCUUCUUAUUUCAUUUAUUGAAAGAUAAUUUCUUGCUACUUUGACCACUUAUUUAACACCACAAGUUAUUUGGAAUUAUCUUUUUGAGGAGCAUGAAUACAAAAAUAAUGAUAAUAUUUAUUUUUUACAUUGUCAAUUUUUUGAUGCAAAAUUAGAAUAAGAUCAAUCUAAAUCUAGCUUCAUUGCAAAGCUCAAAUUUGUUAUGAAUGAACUCUGUAAGGUAGAUGAUAUGACAUUCUCUGAUGCUUUUACGAUAUCAAAGCUUACAACUAAUUUACCUGCUAGAUUUUAUUCUUUAGUUACUGCAUAGAAAAGUACUCCUAAAGAUGAUUAUAAUCUUACUAAUCUUAAGCUUAGGUUACAAAAAGAAGAAAAGAAGAUAUUACAUUACAUACAAUAAGAUUCUAUUUUUGAUUCUAAAGCAUCAUACGCUAACCAUCAAUAUUUUUUUACUACUAAAAAUUCUAAAACUUCACCAAAUAGUAGUAGAUUCUAUCUACGUGGUUUUUCAAAUUUGGAUAAGAAUAUCUAAAUUUAUUUCAAGAAAAUUAUUAUCGGCCUUAUUAUUUAAAAAUUGAUUUUCAUACUCAAGCUGCAUAUAUUGAAUCAUUGGAUUCUUUAUAUGCAAAUCUUUAUUAAAAACACUCAUUCUUCAAUAUAGAAUAAUAUACUAUGAUCUUUGAUAUUAAGAAUCAUAAUGAUAUUAAUUCUCAUGAAUAUGAUCAAUCUUCAUUAGAUUUUCCAUUUUUUGAAAUUACUUGAGCCUACAAUGGUUUAUCAUAUGGAAGUCAUUUAGAUGGUUGGAUUAUUAAUAGUAGUACUAUUGAUUACAUGAUAGAACAAAUUCAUUGGUUUGUAAAUUAUAAAUCCUUAUUAUUAGAUUGAAUAUGGUCUAUUGAAACUUCCACAAGUUAUCAUUGUUUUGUGAUAGGUAUUAGAGAUAUUUAGAUUCUUGUACAAUUACUUAAUAAAAUUGAAGUUCAUUUAUUCACACAAGUUUUAUGUAUUCUUAGAUUUAAAAGAAAUUUAUUUAGUCUCACCAAAUUUGCUUGAAAACAUAAAACAUUUAUACUCUAUAAACACAAUACUUGCAAGUUCUUUCAAGAAAACAACCUCAUCAUAAUAAGAAGGAUAUUUCGUGGUUCUUAUCUUCUUCAAUUCACCAUCUUAUUUCCUUUUGCAGUUGCUCCUUAUGCAAUAUCUUAUGGAAAUUUAUCUUUCUCGGUAGAACUUCAAGAUAUUCAAAAUUGGCACCUUUGACUAGAUUACCUACAUGAUGAUAUGCUACAAAAAAUGGCCAAUAAUGGCUUUAUAAGCAAACUAAGACUAAAGACAAUAGAACAUCCUAUCUUAUGCUCUAACUAUACAUUUAAUAAAUCACACUACACUUCUUUUUUUAAGAAUAUUAAUAGAAUUAAAACAACACAUCUAAAAAAGCUGAUCAAUUGUGAUAUUAGUGGACUAAUGAGUGUUUCUUUCUAUGGUAGAUCUUUUUAUUAUAUAUUAUUUUAGAAUGAUUACACACAUUAAAAAUUUAUUUUUUCUAUUUGUAGGAAAUCUGAUAUUUUAAAAUGUUUUUAGCAAGUAUACAAGAUUAUUCUUCAAGAUCCUAAUCAUCAAGUAUUUACUCUAAGAACCAAUAAUAUUGGUGAAUUUUAUAAUAGAAACUUUAUUGAUUUUUUUUAUAUACAUAGAUCAAAUAGAACUUGUUCUUUUUUAUAUUCAAAUAUAGAACAUUGUUUUUAAACAAAACAAUAAAAUAAUUAUAGAUGCAAUUUACAAUAUGAUCUAUUAUGCAAAAUUGACACUUCAUUCUAAGCAAAGACAAUGAAUAACAUUAUAUAUACACUGAACAGUAUUUAUUCAUCAUUAAAUCUAAAUAUGACACCUUUUGGAGACUUCUAAUCAUCCAAUGAUUUUUAAUUUUUAUACAAUUGAUUUAUUAAAUUCCAUUGUUUUAUGGCAUGAUUUUUUAUUUGAAAAUAUAUUAGGUACCUAGUUGUAGAAAGUUUAGCUUUAAUUUAUUAGUCAAGUUUCAAUAAGUGAUAUAUUCUUAUUAUAGAAGAAAAAUAAAUAUAAUAAUAUAAAAAGAUAUUCUAUUAAAAAAUAUAUAUUAAUAUUUAAGAAGCUUUAUAUAAAAGGCUUUCUAAAGCAUCUAAAAAUGCCCUAACAUCUCUUGUUAUACCAAAUCAUAACUAAUUAUUUGUUAGUAAGUUAGAUUUUUUAUAAGUUGAAAGAAAAUCCAUGAUUUCCUUACAAAAAUUUAUCAUUAUAUCAUAAUUUUUUCAUAGCUUCAUAUCUCCAUUUUUUACAUAUAUAUAAAGUCUUAGCUUCCAAAAAUCUCUUUACUUUGCAUAAAAUGCUCAAAUUGCAACAAAACCUUUUCAAAACAUUUUUCUCCCACAAAAAAUUUCUUUUCUUUAAACUUUAAAAAUUUAUAUCUCUUGAUCCAAAUAUUUAGUUUUUUUCAAACUUCUAGAUAAUUUAGAAUUUAUUCUGAAGCUUUACUAUAGAAAAAAAUCAACCAUAAAUCUACUUUCAAUUGUCUUGCAUCUUAGAAAUCCUAAUAUGUGUAUUAAACCCUAAUUUACAAAUACUUGAGUACUAUUUUUUCCAUAUCUCAAAAAUCGAAAAUUUAAGUGCUAUAAAAUUUGAUUUGUAGCUUUAUAACAUAUUAGUACAUAUUUAUGGAAAAAUUUAGCUAAAGAUUAGUUCAAAUGCCUAAGAUAUGGCUAGAACUAAAUUCCUUAUGAAAUUGGUUUACUAACAAAUCUCAAUUUGGAAGUGUUGUCUUCAAUCAAUCAUUUCUCUUUAAAAUCAACUCUUAACCUUUUGUCUUUUUUGUGAAAAAUCUAAUCCUUUAAACCAGCUUUUUAAUUGCAUAAUCCAAUCCUCAAAAGCCCUUCAUGCGUGUGCACUAUGCCCCAAAGCUUGACAAUAGAUACAAAAUUGAUACCUUGACUUUGAGCGCCUAUAUCUCCUUCAUAAAAGCUCCAAAUCAUAUAAUAUUUUCACCAAAAUCAUAUCCAAAAUCUUAAACUUAAUGACUUAAAUCUUUGAUAUUUGAAUGGCCUCGAAGGAGCAACCCUAAUUCAUAAUAAGGCCUUAGACAACCUCCUUGAAGUCUAUUAGGCAUGAAUUUUGGCCAAUAGAAAUAGAGAUUUUCAUCAUCCAUCUCUAUUCAUCUAUAUGACUGACCUAACUAUUCUUUUUUAUACAAAAUUCUUCUCUAGUCAUUUUGCUAAUAAGUUUUAUAUAAUAUGUGUCCCAAAUACUAAAUAAAAGAAACAAAAUAAGAUUUUAAGAGUCCCCAAUGUCUAAUAAAGGUGAUUCUAAAUAUAUAAAAACUAUUAUCAAUAUAAAAUCAACUUUAAUAAUAGCCCUUUUAAACUAACUACUUCAAAGUAAUAAUCUAAUCAUAUUUUGUAACCAACUAAAAUCUAAUAACAUAGCUUUUACUACAUUGUAUAAUAAAUUAUAUAUAUAUAUAUAUAUAUAUAUAUAUAUUAUAUAUAUAUAUAUGCAUUAUUUUCAUAUAAUAGUCAAACCACAAUACAAUACUAUAGAAACAAAUCAUUCUUCAUCUAAUAUACUAAAACAUCAAUCAAGAGCAUUUGAAGAUACAAGUAGUGGAAGUACAUCCAUUCAUUUUCAUGAUGCUAUGUUGUUUGAAGAAUUUUUUGAUAUCUCCGCACUACUCUAAACUUCAAGCUAGUUUACAAUGGGACUAUCUCUUAGACUCUACUUACUGCAUAUGUUGAUUAUGCAGUGGAUGAUGACAGAAAAUCUCACAGUGGAUACAUUCUUUUUAUGAAUGGAGGACCGAUCAGCUAGGGGUCAAAAAAACAAGCCUGUCUUGUUGACAGUAUGACAUAUUCUGAGUUACUUGUUAUAUGGCCACAAAAGAGAGGCUCCUUGCUAAUCUAGGAUUUUCUAAAGACACAUCAAUAGUCUUAUACUUUGACUCCCAAAGUGCUAUCAGGCAGGCACUUAAUCCUAAAUUUCACUCACAAACUAAGUAUGUGGAUAUUAAGUAUCAUAUGAUCGGAGAACAAAUUCAGAAUGGACUCCUACAAAUUGACUACAUCUCUACUCAUGACAAUGAUGCCUAAGUAUUCACAAAACCAUUAACUCCAAAAAAGUUCAAGCAAAUAUGUGCUUCUCACCAUACAUCCAGGAUGAUAUUUAACUUCUCUAUCAAAGUGGGAGACUUACUUCAUGUAAUGUCAAUAGAGAAGUUUUUCUUUUAGUGGGAGUUUAAAAACUAAUGACUUACUAGUUAAAAGUAUAACUUCUCUUCAAGAUAUAAAUAUGAAUUCUGAAAAUAAAGAUUAAUAUUACACAUUGAUAUCUGUGUUUUAAGUGAUGUGCUUUUAGUAUUAAAACAAAAGUUUCAACAGAACCCACCGUAAAUAAACUAAUGGAAAGACGACAACUAAAGUACAAAUUUAUAGCUGAUAAGCUAUCAGCAGUUGAUCCCGCACUCCGUAAUAUCGGGACCCGUCACCUUUGCCAGGAAUGGAUCAAUGCGCACCCAAAGUAGGGAGAAGAUGGAAGCCAGCAGGAUGGACCACACGAUCACGAUGGUGGGUGUGCGGUUCUGCCGUCCCAUCAGACCCUUCAGGAACGGAUACAAGUGCACGAUCACCCAGAAAGCAAAGAACAGCUUGCCGAACAGCGGACCCCAAGACUGGUACCCGUUGUUGAUGGCGUCUGAAAUCCCCGCCACCACGCCGAUCAUGUUGAUCACCAGUAGAGUGGUGGGCGGGAUCAGAAGGGCAGUCCACUUGAUCAUGUACAGCUCCGCGAAGUCUUCAUCUUCGGCUUGUUUGGACGUCACCGUGAAGUUAGUGUCGAUACCCGCUAACACUUUGAGUAGCCCUUGGAACAGCGCGAACAAAUGGGCCGAUACACCUCCGAUCACCCAGAACUGCUCGUUCCUCCACCAUUCGUCGAUGCCCACUCCUGACCACCGCAUUUCCAAUAUACCAGUCGCAAAAAUGGAGAUGAACAACGAUAUGAACCACAGACUAUCUAAAUUAGUAAUCUGCACACACCACGCGGCAUAAGCAACGAUUCAGGAAGACCAUCGCCUAACCUUCCACCCACAACCACAUCCCAGCUGAAGCUACGAGAUAAUCCUCAGGGUGCCAUUCAUCAAGUACGGUAACGCCUCAAGCAGGCACGAGAUACAGACGGCCAGUACCGUGGGAAUAAUGAACUUUCCGGUCAGCAAACACACAGCAGGGAGCACGCAGUACGCCAGCAGUGGCAACGACGUCAGUGGAUAGAUCGUCGUGUUUAUGUACGCUAGCCUCUCUAGACAUUUCAGUUCACCAUGCUUCCCUCCGCCAUACCCGUACCACAGAGGGCAAUGCCGGCUAAGAGAAAUCUCCACAGACCCCAGAGCCCAACGCAGCACUUGUUGCAGCCGAUCCGACAAAUUAAUGGGAGCAGAACCCUUGAAUGCAGCCCGCGCUGGCAUGCAGUAGAUGGACCGCCAUCCCCGGCAGUGCAUUUUGAACCCUGUCAGAAUAUCCUCCGUCACAGACCCGUAGAUCCACCCGAUCUGAACCAACGGACCAAACAGGGUGCAAUGAUGUUAUGUACUUGGUACAUCGUGCAUAAAAACACCGACACAAACCAACUACCCCGCCCUCCACUAUUCUUCAGGUGCAGUGUGCACUAUGAGAAGAACUACACACGAAAAGAGUAGGAAACGUCAUGGAUCCUCCAACCCCAUCAUCUCAGAACUUACCUCCUUCCCCCAAUCCGUUUUAUCUUCGUACCCACAACUGAUCACAUGAAUGGCCUCCUUCAACAAUGACCCUGGACUGGUGGAGAGCGGCACGCCUCCACUCUCCAGGACCGUCGACGCGACAAAGAUUGGAGACUGACCAAACCGCAUCUCCAAGUUUUGCGACGACAUAAGCGACGCCUUCUCCUCGUCCAUUCCUGCGUCCACACAUUAACCCACUCUUAUAACACUCCGCUGCAUUUUACCAUAGAAGAGACGUCCACCACUCGUCAACGUACAGCCCAAUCUUCAGCUCAUGAUCAACACUUACUGCUCCGACAACCCACAUAACAAAGAAACUUGUACCAUCAUCAGACCAAUCACAGAACACGCCGUGCCCUCGAUACCUUCCUCGAUAUCCUCCACGUCCAAAAUGGGAAUACUGGACUCGGUACGCAAUGGCGGCCGCUUCUUUCCACCCUUCCCCGCUCUUGCAUUUUGAAGACCUUUCUUAAGGGGUCCGCAAAGCCAGGAUGGAAACACGCUCUGGCUGCGACCACUCGAUGCUUUAGGAUCUUUGGGAGGAGGAUCGUAACCAUAAAUGGCUCGCCUCUUGAAACAGCACCCCGUACCCACAUAAACUGGGCCCUGCACGCCAUCUAAACCCUUCAAGUUGAUCUGCGCACCACACAUCACCAGUACCCACCAGUGAAUCUCCCGCACACGCACAGUACCAGAUGAAAAUCGCCUGGAUCGUUACAUGCCCCAAAGGCGAUCAUAAAUGCCAAGACAUCGACAAGAAUGCCAUCUAGUGGGCUGCGCCUUGAACUCUAUGCUGCUAAAUUGUCCAUAAACGACGCCGCACCAAUACUCAUCCACGUUUCAAUCACGGACAACGUCCGCAACCUGCCAUCAUUGAACCAACUGCAUGACGGCAUUCUAAGGUGCACUCCACCCAUACACAUGCCCAAGUCCCAAUUCCAGAUCGGAACACUUACGUCGAAGAAGACAGUGUUGUGGUUGGCAUAUCGAUCGUUUCUGUCAAUCCCAUCAAACCGCUGAGGGAACUGGACGUAGCACACUCUCUUCCCCACGAUGGGAUCCAUCAGGAAGCACAUCGCCUCCCGAAGAGCCUUGCUGUUGUUGAUGUAAUGAUCACAAUCCAGAUUCAGAAAGAAUGGUGCGUUUGUCAGCACUGCGGACACCCGAACCAGCGCGUUCAUGGCACCGGCUUUCUUGUGGUGAUUGAAUCCAGGCCGUUUCUCCCUCGACACAUACACCAGCCGCGGCAACUCGUUUCCUUCCGUGUCAUGACCGCCGCUGUGUCCCAGAAAGACCUACCAUCGUGACACAGUCGUUCACAAACGGUCACCAAGUCGCACAACAGGUGCAUCGCGGCAACAGGACAAAGCGGAGCCUCCCACAUUCAUCAGCUACCUCUUCAUACCCACCUCUGCUACUCACUUGUUAUUGGGACAAACCUGUGCCGCAGUAUGGGAGGAUCGCACUAACCUGUAUCAUUCCGGGAUGGUCACGUGUGUUGUUCCCAGGCCACGGUGUGCCAUCCUGCAUUGUCCAUCCUUCGUCGGGCAUCUUCUGCGCCUUAGCGACCAACGCAUUCACCCGCACUUUAAACUCCUCGUACUCCCUCUGCGUAUACCCAUUCCCUCUCACCACAUCAGUAACUACGGGCAGAUCCUUCACGAACCACUACGACACCACACAUAAUGCGGACGGUGUUCAUGAACUGCAACACCACAGCCAACGCAUGCAAUCCAAGUGCGUGCACCGUCAGGAUCGAUCAACAUUACCUAUCCACCAACAAAAGCAUGCAACUCCUCUCAUGCACGGCACCGUCCACAGGUCAGCUCAUGUCACCUCACCUUCAUAGCUCUGCGCUCCUUCACGAAAGUCGGUUGCACCUUGUCCUUCAAGUAAUCGAUCUUCAGAGCAAAGUACACCUCAGGUGCCCGGGGCUCGAUGUUGAACUUCUUGCAGAACGGCACCCACUUUCGAGCGAACUCCGACGUCUCCGACAAAACCUCAAAGGUCAGCAUGGACGCUCCAUCAUCAGAUAUGUAGCAAGACACCUUAUCCACUGGAUAGUCCACAGCCAGAAUCGACAGCACAGUGUUGGCAGUCACCAGGGGUGGCUCCUUCAUGGGAUCCACCGUACUGACAUAAAUGUCCACCGGCGCCAACUGAGACGGCUCCCCUUCUUUCUCAAACCUGCACCAACGCCCGCAACAACGUCGCAAAGUCAUGGACCACAUACGACAUCUACUAGUGACCACGACGACAAUUGCAGACUUAUAACUACAGCAGCAUUGAACGGAACUGCCGUAACACUCUCAUACCAACACAGUCUGCGCCCUCCCGGGCCAUUGGGAGACGCCUGGAGUCCACCAACUAGGAUCCUACACUGCCAAGUGUUCAAUCGAACCCAAUCACUUGCAAUGCCUAAGCUUCGUGCCUUAACAAACUCUGCCUGUCACAGCUGCGUGCGAGGUCCACAGAACGUACCUCAGGGAAAGUCGAUCUAGGUAAGUCUCACGGUUGAUGGGUAGCCACUUCGGGAACUGAUCCAGGAUCCACGAUAUGCCGAACCAAAUCUCGCAGAUCACCGACACCAGCCAAAGUCCGUACGCUUCGUUCACGGGGUUCAAGAUACGGUAUCGGAAGAACAGGCAAAUCACAACCAGGCGAAUUACGAUAAUCAUCCGGUAGGGGUUGAUCUUGCUCGAUGGGAAUGGAACUUUCCUCGAUAAAGGCUGUCUCGAUUCGUCCAUUCUACAGUACGUGACCGACAAUCACAGUCAGUUCAUCCACAACCUCCAAAAUCCAUUCGACGCCACAUUACGGCACUUAUGGAUCGCCAUAUAUCCUAGUGCUUUGCGACAUCCAAGAAAGAGCUGCACCGUUCUAGCAUCAAGUGAAACCACACAUCUUACAGUAGCACGAAGAUCUUUCAAAACUCCGUUGUCUGGAGAGGCCUGCCUGGGAACAUAUUCAGAAAAGCGGGGCAACCCAGGCGCCUGACACGGAGUUUGAACACACUCGACCCAACUUUGCAUACAAGUUUAAACCAUAAACCUCACAUGGGCAGAUCCGAGCAAUCGAGGCCGCUGCCAUCAUAACCUCCCUCUCCACUUGCUUGAAGCUGGCCUCCCUCUCUCAUCGUCAUCUGCAUUCCCUGUCUUGACUUCCAGCUCUCCACCCUCUCUUUCCAGACGACGUUCCCAUACCCAUCCGAGCCCGCAUCCUUAGCCGAGUCCAAUGCUCUGACUGUUGUGAAUAUUCAAUCCGUCAGUCGUCCAUGUCCAUGGCCUCCGCAAUUGCGAUCCAUCGUACGCAAAUAGACUUGAAAAUACCACGAUUCUCAUGCAUUUAUGUACAGCCUAUUUGGUUCUCCUCUCUACACCGACAUACAGCGAAUGAUGACAUCGCAUUUUCCACGCAGCCAAUCAUAGAGAGAAUGCUUCAAGUAAUUCCAACGCAAAUCGUAGAUUUCCAAUGUCUCACCUGGGGUGCCAAUGUCGCUGUAAGAGGUGGCAUGAGUCAAUCUCCUUCCCGUAACAGGGAAAAUCGCUUGACGAUCAGGAGACAUUGCAUCUGAAUCACUUGUUACAGACACCUGCGCGUUCAACAUUGAAUCAGCCCUGAUAGACCCAAACACCACCACCACGCAAGGCACCAUCCACCAUCUCUACACCACACGACCGACCGACCACGAUUCCAUGUCGCAGCUUCACACAAAUCCGAAUUCCACACCCGAAACGCAUUCAAUCUAACGUGUGGUCACCCGCUUAUGUGACGAAAAUUAGCGCCACAGGAAAUUUUCGCAGAGAACAAAGCUAGGUCAUAACCACUUCGUCUAGCCCCCAAAAACAUCCAAACGUACUGUGUGACGGUGCCUAUCCGUAAGAAGGGGAUACGUAGGCUGCAUUGCAGACAGCGUCACGUCCAUGUCCCGACCAUAAGCCAUCUGGCUGUGAAGCAUCUCGUCCACAACUUGCUGUUCGUCGCGCUUGCCCAAAUCUCCAUCGUGGUUAAACUCGUUGUCUAGGUCGUCGGAGUCCUCUUCUUCAUCGUCUCCUUUCACUCGAGGACUCCCUGCAGUCCAAGGCGCCACAAGUGCAUGUCAAUCACUGAGUUAAAAUAUGUCAGCACAUGCACAUCCCUCAACCACAAACGCUCUUUUACAUCAUGAUAAGAUUUUAGGGACUGCCUCUGUGACACCACAGCUCAGAAAUGUCCUAGAAGACAUGGUCCUGGAGAAUCUUACCUUUGUGGCGUUUGUAGCGAGUCCGACAUUGAGGACAUGCCUGAGUACCAUCCUUCCGUUCGUACUCGUAGCAAGGUCGGCACACCGGGAAGCCGCAUUCAUCGCACGCCACAAAUAUCUCUCGUCUCAUGUUCAAUCCCACAUCGUCACCACAAAUUUGACAAAUUCGGCUGUCCACAUAACUUAACGGUUUCGGCUGCACACAAGCAAAAACAAAGUUCUCAAGACUAUUAACUAGUUUCACAAUAGGUACUUGUUGCUUCGUUCAGCAAGAUUCAUAAAUCCGCCUCAAUCCAGAAGAGUUUAAGCCUGCAGCGAGUUCUAGACAUCAUAGAUAGGAAACGGGAAGGGAUUCAACGUCUUCUGCAGAACUAGAGAAUUGCUAGUAAAACUUCCUUCUGUAUUUCAUGAGAACUAGUGUAAACACGACCUCGUCUCGCAUUCUAUGAUAGCAUUUCAAGGAUCCUCUUCAAACGUUAAGAUGGAAAUACUGGAGAGUUGGUGGACAAAUUAGGGCAUCAUUUAAGAACUUCUUGUAAAUACGCUAGUAAUAGAGUCGUCGCAAUCGAGCUUGUUAACGUGAUUGCAUGGAUACUUAACGUCGUUGCUUCCCUUCUUGGAGUCACACUGUUUUCUAGACACAGAAAAAUGGACAAGACAAGAUCUAUGGACAAUGUUGGUAUCGCAGUUGAAGGCUUCAGUAUGGAAAAUGACCGACUCCGAGUAGCAUGCAUUGCAGACACAACGCAGCAAAGAGCUUCCUCACCCCGUCGCCUUCCUGCCGGAUGACAACCAGCUCGUUCCGAUUGUGCGAGCCCGCCAGAAGCCCUGGACUCGACUCCAUGCUGCCGAAAUCCCUCCCUCCUCCACUUCUCCUGCUUGCCCCCAACGAUCCAAUCCCUGUCUAUACCCCGCACCUAGGCGACUUAGGAAAUAUGUCCCGCUCUUUCCUCACCGGCCUCGCCUCGCCUCGCCUCCGAGUGAUCAUCUCCCUCGCCCCUCCAGCAGAAGAUGACGAUGAUUCAAGAGGAAACAAGACGAUUGAGCUGAAAUUAUUGAUGGGCGGAAAAGGAGGCGACGACGGCUAUGUUUGCUUGGCCAGCUCCCUCCACAUUACCCCGUUUCUCCACCUGAAUCUCUACUCUACACACUGACAGUUCAAAAAAGAUCUCAUCCUUUUGCAGACCUCUCUUGACCACCCUCUACAAUGACCUCUGAAACUCUCACAAAACUCCUCAAGAACUCAGACAGAGCCUCCACAAACCGACUCUUACGUUGAGCCUCUCAUGGAACCCAAAAAACAUUUCAGUUCACAGGCCACUUUUUUAACACCUCCAGCUCUGGUAGACAUCACAUCUGAAUUUUACUCGUGAUCGUAAGAUUCGGAAAGUCGUUGAAAAGGCCUCAGGUUGAGGCUUAAAUUAUUAAUGCAGACAGGAAAUCGGGGGACAUGUGUUGCGGACACACGCUAUUAAUAAUGCUCCAGGCUCUGGCCUUACCGUCGUAGCAUGAAGUUUGGAUGAACGAGGUAAGUGCUGAUGUUGCACAAGUCGUUUCGUGCUCGUGCAUCAGCCGUUCUUGCCUUCAUUCAUCGUAUCCCUUCCAGCGCCGUUAUUUGUCGACUUACAGGCUCGGCGCAAUAUUCUCGCUCUCGUUCCUCACCCAAAAUCCUCUCACUUCGACAUCCGUCAGACCCAUUCCAGCAUCUCUCCCUUACAAGCCUCAGCAUCGCUUCGUCGUUCACACUGUAACAGACUAGUGUAACGUGCGUAGGUUUGGCAACUUGACAGGAACUCACAAUUUUAUCAGUGCUACCUUGCUUGUUUUGCGUUGAGAUCUCGCAACAGACAAUUAAAUCCACCAGCUGGCAGCUAAUGAUAAUUAAAGACCGAAAAGCAUCAGUCUGUAUCACAACUGCAGCUUUACAAGUUUCAAUGUGCAACACUCCAAUUGAGCUUCGAAUUGCACCACUUGCACCAAACUAUUUGCAAGAAACCAGGUUUACAUCAGGUCGGAACUUAGAGGAAAUUCUGUAUACAACUCUGUAUUUCAUGCCUCGACAACCGAUUGAACAGAUUCCGGUGGAAAACGUUUGCUGUGGGAGAAAUUUCGAUCCCAAAGCUUGAAGUUUGUGGAGCUUUCGAAGUACCUCAAGCUUUGGAAGCAUUAAAAUUAAAAUUUGUUGGAGGAUGAGAAAUUCAAGCGAGUGCAUCACACAUCACCAGCUGGCUCAUUUAACAACCAAGAAUUGUCAUGAAUUAUUUCACAUCUGCCAAAGAUAGCGAAGGAAGCUGGAUUGAUUAAUACCAGAUACCUUGGUAAAAAUUUAUCCUUUCAUUCUAGAGGCAGAGGUAAACAGACCGCACAAGAUCGAUACCUCUAACUAACGAGUAUGAGUUUGAGGAGAAUUCUUUUUGUUUCUGGAAUCAAUCCCAAGGAGAAGCCAGUUGGAACAGAUCAAAUUGCAGCGCUGCUACCGCAAGCUUUCUUUUAACACAAUUAUGCAAUUCUCUGCGGGCCAUGCCCAAGUCAAGGCUAUGCUUUAUUUACAUCAUACCAGAUCUAGACCUUCUAAAAAUGCUCAAACAGCAUCCUCGCACACACGUAACCAGAACAGAAUCGGAAACCGGAGCCAUUGGAACAGUAUCGAGUUUAAGCGGAGUGCUACUUCUACCUACAACAGAAAAGCACGAUGGAUGCAGUUAAGCUGGACACGACAGACAGCGAGGUGAACAGCAGGAUGCAUGAAGCAUCCAAGUCUAAAGAAUAAAAGCACUGGCUUGAACGGCGAACACUUGUACACUCACUACAGGGAGGUGCCAGGGACGGCGAGAGCGAAAACAGCGCCGCCAAUUUACUAGAUAAAACUUGUGGGUCCUGUUAAAACAUCCUGACAUGGCAGGUGCCAUGAUGGUCUGCGAGGCAUUGACCUGAGUUCAAACGAUCCAAGCCCGGAUUCUGACCCUGCUCGUGGCACAAUGCCGCUCUCGGUACUACUGGUCUUAUUCUUCCCACGCUAGGGUUGCACUUUCACUGCCCCCGAGGGUCCAAGCUUUGUGCCAGAAAGGGAUGACGCAACCAAUCAAGUAACUGCAAAGCUAAAUGCCAGCUAGAAUGACACAGACCAAUCAAGCGGAUGCAAAGACGGUUUUCCAGAGAGGCUCAAGCUGUGAAAACGGCUGCGAUUUGAUCCACUACGGAGAGAACAAGCAAACGGGAGGACUACGGUGGAAACGGUGUAUUAUUGGGACGGCUUUGACAAUUAGGACCUCAUCCAGUGAAGGACAUCCAUUCAACGGAUGAACCCUCUUUGGGGCUGCCCUCGGAUCGGAGACCCUUUCAGAUUCCAUGGAGUAUUCUAAAAGUGUUGUUGCUUGUUGUUGUUCACAACUUUGUCAAUAAUUGUGCUGGUUGUCUGCCGCCGUCUUGCUGGUGUUCUUGCUGCCCUAUGCUGUUUUCACUUCUCCCCACGGCUGCAUUGUCAGUGCUGCUAUUCGUAUUGUCCUCCCGUUGCAAGAAUAUUGCGUAGCAUGACUAAACCACGGUGUAGAACUUGGGCAUGGCGGCAAGCCACCGUUGCGACGCCGUGCAGUGAGUUUCACACCGUAACCAUGAGGACGUUCUUUCCUUUCGCUCGCAGAAAUCUUUCAUAUUUUGGUACGAGCUUUGAUUUUCGAUGGCAUAUCUGGACACAUUAGGAGUCGUCCGACCGUGGCACAUGCAUUUCCAUGGUCUGGUAGCAUGUAUGAUGCAUUGUGUGUGUCAAGGAAAUGUUGGAUGCGGUGGUUACAAAGCAAAUGUGCUGAUUAAUUUUGAAGUGGGCAAGUCGAAGGCUUUAAAUUCCUGGAAUUCUGUCCAGUGAAGGAUGCAUGCGUGUAUGUCACUACUUCUAUGUUGGUGGCCAUACUACAACAGUCUAAGUUAAUGCCUUCGUGCGAUGUGUUCACAUCGGUUGUACUCGUGCCGAACUUUCGCUCGCAAAUGUACGGAAAAUGAGACUGUUUGCCAAAAACUGGGAUGCUGAUCUUUACUUCGUAACUGAGUCAAAGCAUACCUCCUCAAUUUCUACACUUCAUUGAUGAUGCCAUUUUAUGCAAAGCCGGUAAACCACAUUUGAACUUGGCCAAAGCGUUGGUAUCUACAGCCCAUAUUUGAGAGAUAACGAUGGGCAACUGAAGGGUCGAGCGUACAUGAGUGCUGCUCAUUUUGGUGAAAGGCUAUCUGAGAAAGUAAAGCUAUUUGAGAUCAAAUAGCCAAUGUACACAAUUGUGGGCACUAUAAUUGACUUCCAUUCUAUUGAUCACAUUAAAUGUAGCCGGCGCUCUCCAUACUAUUUAUUGUAGUCUAUACUAUUUAUUGUGGUCUACAGUAUUUACUAUAACUACAAUGUUUGGAAUGUAGUGGGGGAGAAAUUGUUUUUCUCCACUUGUAUAAGAAAUAUAAUCCUAUCAAUAAACUCACUUCUUGUGUAUGUGUGUGUUUACAUUUGUGUGGAUAUUACUUCUAGCUACUGUUGUUUUUUUCUCUCUAAAACAUUCUCAACACAUUAUCAGCAUAAUUAUUCUUAUAUUUUGGUCUUUGUUCUUAAAAACUUAUGUAUACUUUAUUCUUUGUUUUUUUUCUCAAUUUUUUUUCUUCAUGUGCUGCUGCUGUUGUGUUGUUGCUAUUAUUAUUGUUGUCAUGUGCUACUGCUACUAUUGCUAUCCUAUGUUGUAAUGGUGUUGUUGCUGUGCUGUUGUAUUACCAUACCCUGCUGCCAAACUGCUGCCAACUACUACAUCUUGCCACCAACUACUAUCGACUGUCGCUGAUUGAUGCAUCCUAUUCCAAUUGCUACCAAUUGCAUCCAAACUGUCGCACCUUAUCGCCAAACUGUCACCAACUACUGUACCUUGCCGCCAAACUAUUGCACCUUGCCGCACCCUCUCAUAUCCUGCCGUAGUCCAUAGUAGACUCUUAUUUUUGUAGGAAAAAAAAUAAAAAUAAAAAUAAAAUAAAAAAUCUAAUUUUUUUAACUUUUUUUAUUUCAACUUUCAACUUUAUCAUUUUAUUUGCCUUUAUAUUUUAAGGUGUAUUUUACUAAACCUUUUCUACUUGAACUUGUAUUUUUAUUCAUAGAUUUAUAUAUAAUUCGUGCUUCAACAUCUUCAACUACCUCUAUUAUGUUUCAAACUAUCACCACUUCAUUCCAACAUUUUCAAGCUCUUCUAUUUCCACCAUUGGUUGUUGAUAGAAAUAAUUAUCUAUUAUGGGCAAAAAUAGCAAAAGCAAAUUUAUUUACACAACAACUAUAGGAUGCAAUUAUAUUUGAAGAAUCUCCUACUUGAAAUACUACAAUUUCUAUUGCUAUUCAUUAGAAAGUACUUCUUCUCUUUUACCGACAUCUUGUACUUGCAUUACAACAUCAAUAUUUAAAAAUGGAAGAUUCAACCAAGCUUUGGAGGAACCUUAAAUCUAGGUUUGAUCAUCAAAAGACCAUUUUCCUUGGACAUGCAUAUCAUAAUUGGAUACAUUUACAUAGGUUGGAUUUUUGAAAUUUAAAUUUCAAGAGUAAAAUGUAUUGUAUUGUCUUACAACUAUGAUUAUGUGAACAAAGCAUCUCUGAAGAAGAAAUGAUUGAGAAAACUCUCUCUACAUUUCCUCUCAUAUUUACUAAGUUUGCACAAUAAUAUAGGAAUAUGAAAUUUUAGAGUCAUCUUGAUCUCAUGUCCUAUCUACUUCUUGUGGAGAAAUAAAAUGAGCUACUCUUGCACAAUACAAAAGCUCGUCCUAUUAGAACCACAAUUCCAAAAUUUCAUGCACUUAAUAUUCCAAAGUCUAAGAACUAAUUAUACAAAUAUGAAAAAAAUGCUCAUAAGCACCAAGUCAAUCAUGGUCAUGACUGUUUCCACCUAUAUGAAAAAAAACGUUCUACAAUUAAUUAUAGUAGAAAAUAAAAAUUAGAGAUUUGUUCUUACCAUAAAUAUAAAAUAAUUAGAUAUUUUGUACAUGCAUGCCAUAUUUUAGAAUACUUUAUUAAAAUAUUCUAAAAAAAUAAGAAACUUUGAGUUAAGGCUUAUGAAGUUUAUACCAUGGAUGUAUCUAUGGAUUCAAUUGGUAUUGAUGAUUUAGAGACUUAUAUGAAUGAAAAAAACCUCUAAUGUUGAAUCAAAUGAUGCAUUCAUUGAUUUUGCAACAAUACAUACUAUCUUACGGGAUAGACGAUUUUUUAUUGAAAAAUCUUCAACCUGACAAACUAGAAAUUUGAUGACUAUGGCUAGAAUGAAUGCAUUUUGCUUCCAAGAGGGAACAAUGAUGAGAAAAUUGUCUGUAAGUUCUAUCAUAAAAUAUAAACAUGCAAUGUUUGCACUCUCAAUACCUUAGAGUUUGAUUAGCUAUCAAAAUGUAUGUGCCAAUAGUUAUUAUCUUUUAACUGCAAUUUUAGAUAUGCGAGAGGUUUUGAUUUUUGAAUAAAACCAUAAAAUUGUAGAAAAAGCCUUUGCUACAAGAAAUGAUUUAUAUUGAAUUGUAAUCCGGCCUCUUAUUAUAUUUAAUUUUGUAUCAUCUAUCAUAGAGAGUCGUGUUUCUCUUUGGCAUGGAUGAUUGAGAUAUCUAAGAUUUAUAGCAUUUUGGAAGAUAAUUCCAUGUAUAAUUGGACAUAAUUUAAGACUUGCAAAUGCAGAUUCUAUGGAAUUAUGUCAUACAUUUGUACAAGAGAAGUUGAUUACUCGACCUUCAACUUAAAAACUCCUACAAGAAUUACCUCUAAUGCUUGAAAGGUUGCAUGGUGAUAUUUGUGGUCCUAUUAAUGAAAUAUCUAGACCAUUUUGUUAUUUUUUGGACUUUAUUGAUGCAUCACGCAAACAUUCACAUGUUUUAUUAUUACUAUCUUGAAACAUGGUAUUUGUUAAUCUUAUAUCUAUGCUUAUUUGUUUUUGAGUACAUUUUCUUGAUUAUCCUAUCAAAACAUUGUGUAUGGACAAUGCAAAAGAAUUUGCAUCAAAGUCUUUUGAAGACUAUUGUAUUAUAAUAAGGAUUGAAUUGACAUAUUGUAUUCAAUAUAAAAAUGCUCAAAAUAGACUUACAAAGUCAUUUAUAAAACGUAUAUAAUUCAUUACCUGAAUGCUCCUUCUUCAUGUAAAUUUACUUGCAUCUAUGUGGAAUCAUGCAGUUUUACAUGCUGCAGUAUUAAUAUGCCUCCAUCUUUCUUCUCUUCAAAUUAUUAUAACAUAAGAACUUAUUUCAGAUUAUAUUUUAAAUAUAUAUUACCUACGGAUGUUUGGUUGCCGUACUUGGAUUCUAGUACCAAAACCUCAAUGAUUGUUACGGACAUACAUAUAAUUACCUAUAUGAAUAGAUAAAAGUAUGUAAAAGUAGAUAAAAGUAGGUUAAUUGUGUAAUAUCUUCUAGAGAAGCUUCUUAGAAGCUUCAUAGACGCUGCUUUGACUUUAUAGGAGUCUAUAGUUGACUUUUAGGUUAGAAACUUGGUCAACAAGUUAGCCAUGUGCCACACAUGUUGGAAGCUUAAAGAACAAGCUAACUACGUGGUCCAUCCAUAGAAAACUUGCCUUGCAAGCAAAGGCAUGUGGCCUAGAAAGUCAACAUAUAUUGGAGGUCUUAUAGAACAUCACCACGUGGCUUUUAGUUAGAUAAUAUAUAUAGAGGCAAGAGUGAAGCCCUCUUCACUCUUGUCAACUCUUUUCUUGCUUCUAGUCUAGUUUCAAGGGUCUCUAGUUUUCUUGUAUUUUGGCAAUAGCCAUUCCAGUUUCUUUCUUAAUAUACAUAUUUCUAUUUUGUCCUAUUUCUUUUUGAGAAAAGUCUCACUUACUCUUUAGCUUUCAUCGAGUUCUUGUCCUUGACAGAUUGACAAGAGUACACUUACAAUAUCAGAGCUUUGUCUUUUCUUGAUUAAGAGUGGAUUACCCCUUUUUCUUGAUAAGACAUAAGCGCAUUAGAAGUUACGGAUUACCCUCUUUUAAACUGAUAUUGUUCUUAGUAUUUUCUUUGUUAUCAAUUCCUCUCUUCUAUUUGUUUUGAGCGUUAUUAGACAUCUUCUCUUUUCUAAGUGCUACUAUGGCAGAGCUUGUUGAAAUGAAGAGUGCAAUGGCACAGAUGCAAGAACAAUUGAGGGAGUUAAUGCUUGCGAUGCAUCAAUUCAAUUUACCACCACAAGGAGCAACAAGAAUGGUAGGAAGUGAAGAUAUAGAGAUGAUUGGGGCUGCUUCAACAUCUGCACCAAAUCAUGUCCAUUCUCCCAGAAUAGAACACCCUUCGAGUGUUAGAGAACCGAGAGUUGCCUUGCCCGAGAAGUUUGAUGGUACCAGAUCCAAGUUUCGAGGAUUCAUCAAUCAGGUCCAACUAGUGAUUGAACUUCAACCCCAGAGCUAUCCAACUCCAGGGUCACAAGUUAGAUUCAUUGGUAUACUUCUUUCAGGUUCAGCAUUGUCAUGGUUUUCAUCUUUUCUUGAACGACGAGAUCCAAUAUUGGAUAAUCUGGAGGCUUUUUUGGCGGAGUUUCGAUCCAUGUUUGGAGAACAUGAUGCAAUUCGUGUUGCAACCAACAAGAUCCGUAUUUUGCGAUAAGGCAAUCGAUCAGUAACAUUAUAUGCUUCGCAAUUUUGACAACUUGCAACUGAUAUCAAGUGGGAUGAUGCCGCACUUGUGAGUCAAUUUCUCUACGGAUUACAAUAUGAGGUAAAAAAAUUGAUGCUUAAUUUACCUGAUCCUCAAACAUUGAGUCAAGCAAUUGACUUUGCUGUGAAGUACGACAAUCGACUUUUUGAAUUUCGAUCCGAGAGUCGCAUAAGUAGGCCUCAACGUUACUACAAUUCAAUGGCAACACCGACGUCUCCUCAACACAUACCUUCAGAAGUAGAGGAUAUGCAAAUUGAUGUGGUAUGUUUCAAACCUCUUACUGAGCAAGAAAAGUCUCGUCGUCGACAAGAAGGAUUGUGCUUAUAUUGUGGAGAACCUAAGCACACUGCUCAACAUUGUCCAAAGAAGCGACAUAACUACAAAAUGAGGAGUACGGCUGUCAAAGAAGACAGUAUGUCGGAAAAUGAGUACGUCCAGCUACAAUAGGGACCGUGCGGCUGGAAUCUUGUACAACUUCUAAUGAAGGUCCUAUCCUCUCCUCAGAACCAUCUCCUUGUUUUAUAAUAGAUGUGCGUUUAGGACCUAAUAAUUACAAAGCCUCUGCCUUGGUAGAUUCAGGAGCCUCAUCUUGUUUUUUAGAUGAAGAAUUUGCUAGAUGUCAUAGAAUAUCAUUAAUACAAAAAACUAAACCUGUACACGUAGAAGUCAUAGAUGGUCGUCCGUUGUCUUCUGGAGAUGUAACUCACGAAACACUUCUUGUAGAUGUAGUAAUAAAUGGUCAUAGUAGUUGCGUAAUUUUUAAUAUAAUUAGAUCUCCCUCUAAUCCAGUAAUUUUAGGCUUAUCAUGGUUAGAAAAUUAUAAUCCUCGAAUAGAUUGGAUUUCUCGUAAACUUGAUUUCCCUCAGAGCAUUAGUAACAGUUCUAUUAAUCAAGUAAAAAACCAUGAGUCUAGUAUAGUAAAACUCGCACUUAUAGGUGCAAAAGCAUUUAUACACGCAGCAAAAGAAAGAUCAACUUUUGCUAUUUAUGCUGCACCUAUUUCUGAAAACGUAAAGACUUCAAGUGGCAUUCCAAGUCAAUAUCAGGAGUAUCAAGACGUUUUUGAGAAAAAGAAUGCAAAUAUUCUUCCUGAGCAUCGCCCAUACGAUUAUUCAAUCGAUCUCAAGGAAGGAACUCUGCCACCAUUUGGACCAAUUUACAGUUUAUCGCAAGAUGAGUUGGCUGAACUCUAGACAUAUAUUGACGAGAAUUUAGCGAAGAAUUUCAUACGCCAUUCAAAAUCUCCAGCAGGAGCUCCAAUUUUAUUCGUAAAGAAAAAAGAUGGAUCUUUACGAAUAUGUGUUGACUAUCGAGGACUCAACAAGAUCACAAUCAAGAACAGGUAUCCAUUACCUUUGAUAUCAGGACUCCUUGACCAGUUAAAUCAAGCUAAGAUCUAUACAAAAAUAGAUCUAAGAGGAGCAUAUAAUCUAGUACGGAUCAAAGAAGGAGAUGAAUGGAAGACUGCGUUUCGAACCAGGUACGGGCAUUUUGAAUAUAAUGUCAUGCCUUUUGGACUCACGAAUGCACCAGCUGCUUUUCAACAUCUCAUGAAUGAUGUAUUUCGUGAAUUCUUAGACAAUUUUGUCAUCUGCUACCUAGACAAUAUCCUGAUUUAUUCUAAGAACGUUGAAGAACAUGAAAUACAUGUUCGUCAAGUAUUACAAAAACUUAGAGAUGCAGGAUUGUACGCCAAGAUGGAAAAGUGUGUAUUUCACACUACUCAAGUUGACUUUUUAGGAUACAUCAUUUCAAAUGAUGGUCUUAUGAUGGAUUCUAAGAAAGUCCAAAUAAUCAUGGAUUGGAAGAUUCCAAAGACUGUAAGAGAUGUCCAAUGUUUCUUGGGAUUUGCUAAUUACUAUCGGAUCUUCAUCAAAGACUUCUCACGAGUUGCAGCUCCACUUCCACGCUUGACUAGUAAAGAUAAAUUCCAAUGGAAUCAAGAAGCGGAAGCAGCAUUUGAAGCCUUGAAGACAUCGUUUGUCUCUGCACCAGUCUUAUAUCGUGUUGACUUUUCUAAGGUAUUUUUUAUGAAAACAGACGCAUCGGAUUUUGCCUUGGGUGCAGUUUUAUCACAAAUGGGAACAGAUGACAAACUUCAUCCGAUAGCUUUUCAUUCAAGAAAAUUCUCAGCAGCCGAGAUCAAUUAUGAGAUCUACGAUAAAGAACUUCUUGCAAUCGUGGAUUCCUUUCAAGAAUGGCAUCAUUAUCUAGAAGGUGCUUCUAGUCCAGUCACUGUGUAUACAGAUCACAAGAACCUCGAGUAUUUCAUGUCAGCACGCGUGUUGAAUCGUCAUCAAGCUCGUUGGAGUAUGUCUUUGUCAAGAUUCAAGUUCAUUAUCACUUAUCGGCCAGGAAAACAACAAGGUUUGUCUGAUGCCCUAUCUAGACGUUCUUAUUUUGCACCAAAAGAAGGAGAUGCAGCUUUUGAGCAACAAAGAACGGUCCUCUUGAAACCGGAGCAAUUUCAUCUCCGAGCAGUGAAAUCAACAUUGACUGUUGAUUCAACUUUUCUCAAGCAAAUCCAAUCCAGUAUGUCCUCAGACCCUCUUGUUCAUGAUAUCAAGAAUAAUUCUUCCAAGUCUCAUGAUUCUUUUAAGUUCGAGUUCAAGAAUAAUCUAUUAUAUUUUGAAGGAUGCCUAUAUGUUCCAGAAUGAGAAGCACGUUUACGUGUUCUUCAACCACGUCAUGACUUUCUAGCAUCAAGGCACUUUGGAUAUAAUAAGACUUUGGAACUCAUAUCAAGAGAUUUUUGGUAGCUACAAAUGUGGAAGUCAGUCAAAGACUUUGUACAAUCAUGUGAUAUUUGUUCAAGAUCAAAAAUUCCUCAUCAUCGACCUUACGGACUUCUUCAGCCAUUACCUAUACUAGAACAACCAUGGUCUUCUGUUUCUAUGGAUUUCAUCACAGAUCUUCCAAGCUCAAGAUCUUAUGAUUCUAUAUUUGUGAUAGUAGAUCGUUUCACCAAAAUGGCACAUUUUGUGCCAUGUAUAAAAUCUAUCACAGGUGAAGAAACAGCUAAGCUUUUCAUUGAUAAUAUCUAUCGCUAUCAUGGAUUACCUAAAGAUAUCAUAUCAGAUAGGGGAACUCAAUUUGUGUCAAGAUUUUGGAGGACCCUUUUCAAGAUUUUAAAAGUGGACAUAAAGCUAUCUUCGGCUUUCCAUCCUCAAACUGAUGGACAAACUGAGCACGUAAACCAAGUCUUGGAGCAAUAUUUAAGGUAUACCAUCAACUACCAACAAGAUGAUUGGACAACCUUUCUGCCAUUGGCAUAGUUUGCUUAUAAUAAUACGGUACAUUCUUCCACGCAACAAAUACCUUUCUUUGUCAAUUAUGGCUAUCAUCCACGACUUGAUACUUUUGAUUUUUCAAAAGUUGAUAAUCUUGCAGCAGAAGAUAUGGCAAAUCGGUUGUCAGAGUUACAUGCAAUAAUGAAGACGCAAUUGAAAGAAGCUCAAGAACGACAAAAGAUAAAUGCAGAUGUAUAUCGUAAAGAGCAACCACAACUCAACGUGGGUGAUAAGGUAUGGCUACUUUGUCGCAAUAUCAAGACCACUCGACCUUGUGACAAAUUGGACUAUCGUAGGCUUGGCCCCUUUUCUGUUUCUGAACAGAUCAACCCAGUUGCAUAUCGGUUACAUCUACCGGAGUCAAUGAAGAUCCAUCCUGUAUUCCACGUGUCUCUUCUUGAACCAUAUAAGAUAGUGGAUAUACAAGGAAGAAGACAAAUGCCACCGCCUCCUAUAGAAGUAGAUAAUAAUGAAGAAUUUGAGGUGGAAGAGAUAUUAGACUCAAGGCGGCGCCGAAAUAAGCUGGAAUAUCUUGUUCAUUGGUGCGGAUAUGAUAUUAGUGAGUGCACAUGAGAGCCAUCCAGGAAUCUAGCAAAUACAUCAGCUAGAGUCAAAGUUUUUUAUCAACGACAUCCAUCAAAACCAAGAUGAAAACCUCUCUUAUAAAAGAGACAAGAUUGAGGCAAGAUAACAUUCAAUUUCAUAUCCUUGUUUGUAACUUCUUUGCAUUUUGUGACGCUAAUUAGAUGGAGAGCCAACAACCAGUGGAUUCAACUCAAGAACCUUCGU
rnacentral:lncRNA from 1 species